UGGGGAAUCUUGCGCAAUGCGCGAAAGCGUGACGCAGCAACGCCGCGUGGAGGAAGACGGUCUUCGGAUUGUAAACUCCUUUCAGUUGGGACGAAGCUCAAGGGGUUAAUAGCCUCGUGGAGUGACGGUACCUUCAGAAGAAGCCCCGGCUAACUACGUGCCAGCAGCCGCGGUAAUACGUAGGGGGCUAGCGUUGUCCGGAAUCAUUGGGCGUAAAGCGCGUGUAGGCGGUCCGGUAAGUCCGCUGUGAAAGUCGGGGGCUCAACCCUCGAAUGCCGGUGGAUACUGUCGGGCUAGAGUGCGGAAGAGGCGAGUGGAAUUCCUGGUGUAGCGGUGAAAUGCGCAGAUAUCAGGAGGAACACCAAUUGCGAAGGCAGCUCGCUGGGACGUAACUGACGCUGAGACGCGAAAGCGUGGGGAGCAAACAGGAUUAGAUACCCUGGUAGUCCACGCUGUAAACGAUGGGCACUAGGUGUGGGGGGUGUCGACUCCCUCCGUGCCGAAGCCAACGCAUUAAGUGCCCCGCCUGGGGAGUACGGCCGCAAGGCUA
rnacentral:rRNA from 1 species